AGACCAUGAUGCGGACAUUUCCUUAAUAACUCCUUGAACUUCUCCCAUGUCUCGUACAAAGAUUCCCCGUCAUCUUGAGAGUAAGAAUUAAUCUCGGUCAUGAGUCU
rfam:Helianthus annuus linkage group 8, whole genome shotgun sequence.